rnacentral:rRNA from 1 species
UGGGGAAUUUUGGACAAUGGGCGAAAGCCUGAUCCAGCAAUGCCGCGUGUGUGAAGAAGGCCUUCGGGUUGUAAAGCACUUUUGUCCGGAAAGAAAUCCUUGGCUCUAAUACAGUCGGGGGAUGACGGUACCGGAAGAAUAAGCACCGGCUAACUACGUGCCAGCAGCCGCGGUAAUACGUAGGGUGCAAGCGUUAAUCGGAAUUACUGGGCGUAAAGCGUGCGCAGGCGGUUUGCUAAGACCGAUGUGAAAUCCCCGGGCUCAACCUGGGAACUGCAUUGGUGACUGGCAGGCUAGAGUAUGGCAGAGGGGGGUAGAAUUCCGCGUGUGAGCAGUGAAAUGCGUAGAGAUGUGGAGGAAUACCGAUGGCGAAGGCAGCCCCCUGGGCCAAUACUGACGCUCAUGCACGAAAGCGUGGGGAGCAAACAGGAUUNGAUACCCUGGUAGUCCACGCCCUAAACGAUGUCAACUAGUUGUUGGGGAUCAUUUCCUUAGUAACGUAGCUAACGCGUGAAGUUGACCGCCU